GAUGAAGAACGUAGCGAAAUGCGAUAAGUAAUGUGAAUUGCAGAAUUCAGUGAAUCAUCGAAUCUUUGAACGCAUCUUGCGCUCCUUGGUAUUCUGAGGAGCAUGCCUGUUUGAGUGUCAUUAAAUUCUCAACUACACUGACUUUGAAUUGGUGUGGCUUGGAUUUGGGGGGAAAAUUGUUGUGGGCUUUUUGUAUAGUCUGCUCCCCUGAAAUUGAUUAGCGGUACCUUUGUGGAACUGUCUACAGGUGUGAUAAUUAUCUACAUCUUAGACAUCUGCUGGAAUGCUGCUUUUUAAACCUUACUUGUAUUGACAAUCUUGACCUCAAAUCAGGUAGGACUACCCGCUGAACUUAAGCAUAUCAAUAAGCGGAGGA
rnacentral:misc_RNA from 1 species